rnacentral:rRNA from 1 species
AUUGAACGCUGGCGGCAUGCCUUACACAUGCAAGUCGAACGGCAGCACGGGUGCUUGCACCUGGUGGCGAGUGGCGAACGGGUGAGUAAUAUAUCGGAACGUACCUUAUUGUGGGGGAUAACGCAGCGAAAGCUGUGCUAAUACCGCAUAAUCCCUAAGGGGGAAAGCGGGGGAACGUAAGGCCUCGCGCAAUUAGAGCGGCCGAUACCUGAUUAGCUAGUUGGUGAGGUAAAGGCUAACCAAGGCAACGAUCAGUAGCUGGUCUGAGAGGACGAUCAGCCACACUGGGACUGAGACACGGCCCAGACUCCUACGGGAGGCAGCAGUGGGGAAUUUUGGACAAUGGGGGCAACCCUGAUCCAGCAAUGCCGCGUGAGUGAAGAAGGCCUUCGGGUUGUAAGGCUCUUUUGUCAGGGAAGAAACAGCAGCUCUAACACAGUUUGCGAAUGACGGUACCUGAAGAAUAAGCACCGGCUAACUACAUGCCAGCCGCCGCCGUAA